CGGACGGGUGAGUAACGCGUGGGUAACCUGCCUCAUACAGGGGAAUAACAGUUGGAAACGGCUGCUAAAACCGCAUAAGCGCACGGUAUCGCAUGAUACAGUGUGAAAAACUCCGGUGGUAUGAGAUGGACCCGCGUCUGAUUAGCUAGUUGGUGAGGUAACGGCCCACCAAGGCAACGAUCAGUAGCCGGCCUGAGAGGGUGAACGGCCACAUUGGGACUGAGACACGGCCCAA
rnacentral:rRNA from 1 species